GUUUCUGUGAGCUCCGUGCAUUCCGCUUCUCUCAGUAUCUAUCUUUGGUCCUCAACACCUCUCCUACUUCCCAGCUUCUAUUUAGCCUCCCUCACUACAGCAGUGGUGUAUUUCUACAUUCUCCACAGUUCUCUACUCAGAAGCAAGGGACCAUUAUCGGGAGCGGGUGCACGGAAAAGAAGAGACCCGCGGAGAUCAGAACAUUAAGACAGCUGUUUAAAUCGUUCCAGAACCUUCUGCAUAUUGGAAGACACCAAAUUUUCCUCCCAUUUCUAACGAGAUUACUCUCCUCCAUGUUGAAGUUCCUUAUUCUUCAUUGGACUACUAUGUUUAUAUUGCAAGUUUUCCUUCGCUAACAAAGAAAGAGGGAUAUUUGAAGAUUGCAGAGACUUAUAUAACCUACCAUAUUUCUGAUUGGCUGAGCAUUAUGCACAGCAUGUUUGUAUUU